rnacentral:lncRNA from 1 species
UGCGGAAUGAGGAUUAAACUGUUGUUGGGCACAGUUCUCUCAGCCUUCAUACCUGACUUCCUUUUGUGGAUGUGAUCAGGCCCUGGCUGUAAUGUGAUAAGUGUUUCAAAACUAUGUUGCUUCUGCUAUUUUAAACUUGGUUUGUAAUAACUUAAGUGAACUCCGAUGUUUGUGUGCUUCGGCAAACUUAUGUAAACUGGUGUAACAAGCGAUGUGUUGUGUUG